UCCUUUUGUGGAUAAUUUAAGGUCUAGCCUGCCCACUGAAAUUUUAAAUGGCCGUGGUAUUUUGACCGUGCUAAGGUAGCAUAAUCAUUAGUUUUUUAAUUAAAAACUGGAAUGAAAGGUUGGAUGAGAAAAUAGCUGUCUCUAUUAAAUUUAAUUAGAAUUUUAUUUUUAAGUUAAAAAGCUUAAUUAUUAUUAAAAGACGAGAAGACCCUAUAGAGUUUAAUUAUUUAGUAAAAAUUAUAUUUUAGUAUUAAUUUAUUUAUUUUAUUAAAUAAUUUAAUUGGGGUGAUUGAAAAAUUUAAUUAACUUUUUUUAUUUAAGAACAUUAAUUUAUGAAUAAAUGAUCCAAUAUUUUUGAUUAUAAGAUAAAAUUACCUUAGGGAUAACAGCGUAAUUUUUUUAGAAAGUUCAUAUUAAAAAAAAAGAUUGCGACCUCGAUGUUGGAUUAAAAUAAAUUUUUGGUGUAGAAGCUAAAAUAUUAGGUCUGUUCGACCUUUAAAAUUUUACAUGAU
rnacentral:rRNA from 1 species